UGCAGUCGACGAUGAACCGCUUUCGGGCGGGGAUUAGUGGCGAACGGGUGAGUAACACGUGGGCAAUCUGCCCUGCACUCUGGGACAAGCCCUGGAAACGGGGUCUAAUACCGGAUAUGACUGUCCAUCGCAUGGUGGAUGGUGUAAAGCUCCGGCGGUGCAGGAUGAGCCCGCGGCCUAUCAGCUUGUUGGUGAGGUAGUGGCUCACCAAGGCGACGACGGGUAGCCGGCCUGAGAGGGCGACCGGCCACACUGGGACUGAGACACGGCCCAGACUCCUACGGGAGGCAGCAGUGGGGAAUAUUGCACAAUGGGCGAAAGCCUGAUGCAGCGACGCCGCGUGAGGGAUGACGGCCUUCGGGUUGUAAACCUCUUUCAGCAGGGAAGAAGCGAAAGUGACGGUACCUGCAGAAGAAGCGCCGGCUAACUACGUGCCAGCAGCCGCGGUAAUACGUAGGGCGCAAGCGUUGUCCGGAAUUAUUGGGCGUAAAGAGCUCGUAGGCGGCUUGUCACGUCGGUUGUGAAAGCCCGGGGCUUAACCCCGGGUCUGCAGUCGAUACGGGCAGGCUAGAGUUCGGUAGGGGAGAUCGGAAUUCCUGGUGUAGCGGUGAAAUGCGCAGAUAUCAGGAGGAACACCGGUGGCGAAGGCGGAUCUCUGGGCCGAUACUGACGCUGAGGAGCGAAAGCGUGGGGAGCGAACAGGAUUAGAUACCCUGGUAGUCCACGCCGUAAACGGUGGGCACUAGGUGUGGGCAACAUUCCACGUUGUCCGUGCCGCAGCUAACGCAUUAAGUGCCCCGCC
rnacentral:rRNA from 1 species